GAAUGCUGACAUAAGUAACGAUAAAGCGGGUGAAAAGCCCGCUCGCCGGAAGACCAAGGGUUCCUGUCCAACGUUAAUCGGGGCAGGGUGAGUCGACCCCUAAGGCGAGGCCGAAAGGCGUAGUCGAUGGGAAACGGGUUAAUAUUCCCGUACUUGGUGUUACUGCGAAGGGGGGACGGAGAAGGCUAUGUUGGCCGGGCGACGGUUGUCCCGGUUUAAGCGUGUAGGUGUGUGUUCCAGGUAAAUCCGGUUCACUUUAACACUGAGGCGUGACGACGAGGCACUACGGUGCUGAAGCAACAAAUGCCCUGCUUCCAGGAAAAGCCUCUAAGCAUCAGGUAACAUCAAAUCGUACCCCAAACCGACACAGGUGGUCAGGUAGAGAAUACCAAGGCGCUUGAGAGAACUCGGGUGAAGGAACUAGGCAAAAUGGUGCCGUAACUUCGGGAGAAGGCACGCUGACACGU
rnacentral:rRNA from 2 species